rnacentral:rRNA from 1 species
CCUACGGGAGGCAGCAGUGAGGAAUAUUGGUCAAUGGUCGGGAGACUGAACCAGCCAAGCCGCGUGAGGGAUGAAGGUACAGAGUAUCGUAAACCUCUUUUGUCAGGGCACAAAGGCGGGGACGUGUCCCCGGAUGAGUGUACCUGAAGAAAAAGCAUCGGCUAACUCCGUGCCAGCAGCCGCGGUAAUACGGAGGAUGCGAACGUUAUCCGGAUUUCUGGGGUUAAAAUGGUGCGCGGGCGGUCUGUUAAGUCAGCGGGAAAAGCCCGGGGCUCAACUCCGGCACGCCGUUGAAACUGGGAGUCUCGAGUUGGAGAGAAGUAUGCGGAAUGCGCGGUGGAGCGGUGAAAGGCGUAGAUAUCGCGCAGAACUCUGAUUGCGAAGGCAGCAUGCCGGCUCCACACUGACGCUGAGGCACGAAAGCGUGGGUAUCGAACAGGAUUAGAUACCCUAGUAGUC